rnacentral:rRNA from 1 species
CCGCAAGGAUUAGUAAAGUGGCGUCCGGGUGAGUAACACGUGAAUUAUCUACCCUUGGGUGAAGAAUACCCUCGAGAAAUCGAGGUUAAUACUGCAUAAGCCGGAAACGGGAAAGGUGGCCUCUUUGCUACCGCCGAAGGAUGAGUUUGCGGCCUAUUAGUUAGUUGGUGGGGUAAAGGCCUACCAAGGCAAAGAUGGGUAGCCGGCCUGAGAGGGUGUACGGCCACAAUGGAACUGACACACGGUCCAUACUCC